AUUAGUGGGAAGGGUGAGUAAAGGGGGGCUGCUGCCCUGCACUCUGGGACAAGCCCUGGAAACGGGGUCUAAUACCGGAUAUGACCGUCUUGGGCAUCCUUGAUGGUGUAAAGCUCCGGCGGUGCAGGAUGAGCCCGCGGCCUAUCAGCUUGUUGGUGAGGUAAUGGCUCACCAAGGCGACGACGGGUAGCCGGCCUGAGAGGGCGACCGGCCACACUGGGACUGAGACACGGCCCAGACUCCUACGGGAGGCAGCAGUGGGGAAUAUUGCACAAUGGGCGAAAGCCUGAUGCAGCGACGCCGCGUGAGGGAUGACGGCCUUCGGGUUGUAAACCUCUUUCAGCAGGGAAGAAGCGAAAGUGACGGUACCUGCAGAAGAAGCGCCGGCUAACUACGUGCCAGCAGCCGCGGUAAUACGUAGGGCGCAAGCGUUGUCCGGAAUUAUUGGGCGUAAAGAGCUCGUAGGCGGCUUGUCGCGUCGGUUGUGAAAGCCCGGGGCUUAACCCCGGGUCUGCAGUCGAUACGGGCAGGCUAGAGUUCGGUAGGGGAGAUCGGAAUUCCUGGUGUAGCGGUGAAAUGCGCAGAUAUCAGGAGGAACACCGGUGGCGAAGGCGGAUCUCUGGGCCGAUACUGACGCUGAGGAGCGAAAGCGUGGGGAGCGAACAGGAUUAGAUACCCUGGUAGUCCACGCCGUAAACGGUGGGCACUAGGUGUGGGCAACAUUCCACGUUGUCCGUGCCGCAGCUAACGCAUUUAGUGCCCCGCUUGGGGAGUACGGCCGCAAGGCUAAAACUCGAAGGAAUUGACGAGCGACCCGCAGAGUCAGCCGGAGCAU
rnacentral:rRNA from 1 species